rnacentral:rRNA from 1 species
GGGUCAGUAGGUUGGUCGUGCCACCGGUACGUACUGGUCUCACUGAUUCCUCCUUCCUGAAGAACCGUAAUGCCAUUAAUUUGGUGUUGCGGGGAAACAGGACUGUUACUUUGAAAAAAUUAGAGUGUUUAAAGCAAGCUAACGCUUGAAUACAUUAGCAUGGAACAAUGAAAUAGGACGAUCGAUCCUGUUUUGUUGGUUUCUAGGAUUGACGUA